rnacentral:lncRNA from 1 species
AGAAGAUGAUCUUUAUCAGGAUUUUCAGAGGUGUGAACAAUUACUUACUAUGAAUACAUAUUCUGAGAAGUAUGUCAUCAGUAAAAAUAUGAUCUUUGAUGAAAAGAGCAUCUUGAAGAAGUCGGGAGGUGCUGAUGAAGUUGGAAAGUCAGUGUAGGACAGCAUUGAGCAGCACUCACAUACAGGUGAUUUGCCUUCUACUUUGACCUCAGAUCAUGUUCAGUUUGGGGUGGAGAUGGGCAGGCAUGGUCAUACACCUAUGGAGGGUC